rnacentral:rRNA from 1 species
GAUGAACGCUAGCGGCAGGCCUAAUACAUGCAAGUCGGACGGGAUUGAGUAGCUUGCUAUUCAUGAGAGUGGCGCACGGGUGCGUAACACGUAUGUAACCUACCCUUGUCAGGGGGAUAGCCUCUCGAAAGAGAGAUUAAGACCGCAUAACAUUGAGAUGUAGCAUUACAGUUCAAUCAAAUAUUUAUAGGACAAGGAUGGGCAUGCGGAACAUUAGCUAGUUGGUAAGGUAACGGCUUACCAAGGCUACGAUGUUUAGGGGAUCUGAGAGGAUGA